rnacentral:misc_RNA from 1 species
UUUCCGUAGGUGAACCUGCGGAAGGAUCAUUAUUGUAUAACCGAGGUGCGAGGGCUGUCGCUGACCCGAAAGGUCGUGCACGCCCGAGUGCCCUCACACACAUCCAUCUCACCCCUAUGUGCACCACCGCGUGGGUCCCCCUUUGGCUUGUUCGGAGGGGGGCUUACGUUUUCACACAAACUUUGUAUGCAGUGUAGAAUGUAUUUUUUGUUUUUGCGAUCACGCAAUCAAUACAACUUUCAACAGCGGAUCUCUUGGCUCUCGCAUCGAUGAAAAACGCAGC